UUUGGAGAAUAAUAUCCAACAGCUAGAGAGCCAGCUUGAUGUUAUGAAGCUCAUUUAUUCAUAUUCGUUUUCAGUUAAAUGCACUACAUGAGAGCAGUUUGCACCUCCAGACAUCGGCAAGAGCUGUGGGAGGAAAAGGAAAGGCAGAAUGCUUUGGAGAUAAAUCAAAGUCUGUUGACUUGUCAACUACAGGAGUUUCAAUUUUACAAAGGUACACAUUUACACUGGCUUCAUGAAUGUUCAGUCUCUGCUUACACUUAAUUUUCAUUACACAUUCCAGCUCAGCUUGGAAGCACUGACAACAGAGAAAUAUAUCUGAUAUUCAAGAAAGUCAUGAUGUUCAGAUAAAGGGAAACAACGAGGGGCAUGAGGAGAGCCUAAAACAUGUACAGCAGCAGGUGGGCAGAUGUAACACUGCAACAAUAUUUGCAACAUUGUGCUUAAUGAGAGUAGAACUGUGCAUUCCUGCAAGAGGUGUUAUGGUAAAUUCAUAAUAAUAAGAAUUAAAAUUAAGCUUAAUAAAAAAAAAAAAUAGACAAGGGUUAUUUUAAUAUUUGCCGGUAAUAUUUCACAAAAUUACUUGUUUUGCUGUGUUUUUGAUCAAGUUCGUUUUUUUUCUACACUUUAAGUCAUUAAAAUGUUGAUGCGGACUCUACCUUCAAUUAGUUACAAAACCAACUGGAACAUUGUGAAAAAGAAAAGGCAGAGUUAGACUCAAAGGUUGUGUGCUUGUCCAAAGAGAAGGACAGUGUUAUGAGUAAGAUCCGUUUGUGGAUGAAGUCGAGCAAACAGCUGGAGAGUGAGAAGAAGGCACUUCAGGAGGAACUUCAGCAGCAGGCACAACAGAUAGCAGCACUGCAGGCCUCACAGAAACAAGGUAUGGACAAAACUAGAUUACAAAGCAUCUGCUCUAAUAUUAUAAACUUAACUUGCAUUGGACUGUCAAACUUUUAUUUUUAUUUUUUUCU